UUCUCUCUAGUUUCACGUCACUUUAGUUUUUCCUAUUCUGUUCACAAAAUCUUUUUUUUUUAUUCCUUUUCUUUCUUUUCACGUAGGUUUGGAAAAGGGGGUAACAAAUCGUUCUUUUGGUUUCUUGAUUUUUAAUGUCAAAGCCUCUUUAUUUUACUAUUCAAAGAUCGGUAGUGGUGCUAAUCGAGUAGGUUUCAACGAGACUCGUGUGUAAGUUUUGACUUUCUCUUUUCUCAUUGCGGAUUUAUCCGUAGUUAGUUUGCAAUUGUGUUGAGGGUAGUUGGUGGGAUGUAUCAAUAUUAAUUGAUUAUUUUGUUUGUAGGUGACGAACAUGAGAAUCGAAAAUCCCCUCUUUUGAUUUAAUUGUUUUAGGGGCUGCUGUGAACGUGGGUAAGUAUUCGAACAUUUAUAUGUUUAAUUUUAGUCGGAAUUGCUCAUGUUUGUGUUUUAUUCAAGUGAGUGGCUUGCUAAAAAUUGAGGCAUUAAGGAUUGAUUUUGGGUGAUUUAUUGUCUAUUUUAGGUACUAUUUUCUUCAUGAAUAUGGUGGUAUCGAAAUCGAAUCAGGUGUGUAUCGAAAAAUAUGAAAAAUAGUGAUCGGCGAAAGUCGAAAAAGUUCACUGUCGACGCCACACGACCGUGUGCCAGACUGUAUGACAGACCAUUUGCAAGACCAUGUGUGACAUACGGGCUAGGCUAUUUGGGCCGUGUAGGCCCAAAAUUCUAAAAUAUUCCCUAGGGCCGUGUUUUAUACUCAUAUGGUGUGUUGAGAUGGUCGAAGAUGGUAUGUAGCGGUUGGGGGUAGGAUUAUAUGUUGUAUCUGUUAUGUUUAUUAUAAAUAUGUUUCUAAUAAAUCUGUCUAAUAUGCAUCUAACUGCUUUAAGUUAUUCGAUAUACAUUGAGUUUAAAAAACUCAUUCUCUGUUUGUCUGUCACUUUCAGGUAAUUCACAGACUUAGGUCGGGCGGUGUGACGGGAGCUUGGUUAUAUUAGUAUUUCAUUUUUUUCAACUAUUUAAAGUUGGAUUUUAGCUUUUUGUAAAAUUUGGAUUGUUUUGGACAUUUUGGGAUUGUCUUAGUUUUGGAUUUUAUUUUCGAUUUUCGUAUGAUACUCGUAAAAUGAUUACGAAAAUGAUUGUUUUCCUGCAAACAAUCGGUUUCGAGAAAACAAACUUUGUUUUCCAAAAUAUAAUGACCUAAGAAUUUUCGUUGUAAAGUUUUCGUUUUAUUUUGAAGAUGUAAAUAAACAACAUUUUCAAUUAAAUAGUUAUAUCAAAUACUUUUUUUUAAUAAAACAGGUUUUUAGGUAACAAAAGUUUACUAUGUUUUUCAAAAUAUACGGGAACCGGAUUUACUACUGUUUUACGUAGCAUCUCCAGAUUUAGUCAUAACGUUCAUACCGGGUUUGGGGUGUUACAAUUUUUCAUUUUCUUUAUUUUACGAAAAUUUACUAUAUAAAUUUUAUGGUGGGCUUACAAUAAUUCUCUCUAUAACAGUAUAUUGUUAUAGGUGUAUAAUAAUCGCCUUUCUAUAGCAGGCAAAAUCUUGGCAAACAAAUGAGAUUGUUAUAGAGAGAGUUGAUUGUGCUAUAAUUUCUAAUAUAAUUUGGUCAUUAUAUUUUUAUAAUGAUACUAGUUAGGCCAAAUAGUUAAUAUAGUUAAUUUUUCGAUUAAAAUGUUACCUAUUUGUAUAUAAUUUAUGCCCUAUGGGUC
rnacentral:lncRNA from 1 species